rnacentral:rRNA from 1 species
CAGUAGCCGCGGGAAUACGUAGGGUGCGAGCGUUAAUCGGAAUUACUGGGCGUAAAGCGUGCGCAGGCGGUUGUGUAAGACAGGUGUGAAAUCCCCGGGCUUAACCUGGGAACUGCGCUUGUGACUGCACAGCUAGAGUAUGGCAGAGGGGGGUGGAAUUCCACGUGUAGCAGUGAAAUGCGUAGAGAUGUGGAGGAACACCGAUGGCGAAGGCAGCCCCCUGGGCCAAUACUGACGCUCAUGCACGAAAGCGUGGGGAGCAAACAGGAUUAGAUACCCGAGUAGUCCCUGUCUCUUAUAA